GUGCUCACUUCGGCAGCACUUAUACUAAAAUUGGAAUGAUACAAGAAAGAUUAGCAUGGCCCCUGCACAAGGAUGACAUGCAAAUUAAUGAAGUGUUCCAUAUUUUU